GCUGUGUCUAUCUUAAAGACGUGGAUCGUUUGGGCAUGGCUCUGAUUUAUAGGAUGGGAUGCUUUCUCGUGCCCUCGUACCAUUCGUUCAGCGUGUGGCGCUCUAGUGCACCAUUUAGUUUACAACUGACUAGAAAGAGAAAAGAAAAAUGGCGAUGGCAAGACGGUCAGCUGAUGGAGAAACAAUUGGCGCCCUCGACUGGAAUGCAGCAACGACGACCCAAUCGCCCAGUGUAAACCAGACAGUUCACCGAUGGCUGUGCUGCGUUUGAAUGCAAUUCAUAGCGGAGGAAGUUCUCUGAUCUUUUUCUAGGGUGCAGAUGAGACCUUAAUCCAGUACGUACAUCCAUUGGAACACCGGAGGAUGAAUCUUUUGUGCUGAAAUCAGCUUAAGGAAAAAUCAAUUGCCUGUGACUUGGAUUGGAAUUAAGUCAUUUGAUGUACGUACAAGAUCUACCAUUAUGUUGAAGUAAGUCACAACAGGAAAGGCUUUCAUUUCAUUCACCAAAGAAAACAUUUAGGAAGAGCUGAUGAAGCAUGAAUAGCAGAUUGACAACUCAUUGUCGUGUACUUUCCAACAAAAGGAUUAUAGCCAAUGAAACGUUUGACAUCCAAGCCAUCAGAAUCAUGCAUGGGUUUGAAGCAAUUAGGCAACGUGUAAUUUUGUACGAAAAAAAGGAGAAGGGGUAACAAAAGAAAAGUAUACAAAGCCGUCUGACCAUUACCUUUACACAUGCUAAAUGUCGAUGGUGUCUAUCUGAAAGACGUGGAUCGUUUGGUCGUGGCUCUGAUUACAGGACUGGCAUGGGUUGAUGGCGCUUUCUGUUUACCUGCUUUCAUUGUUAAGAUUCCAUUCAGGGCAUGGCUCAGGUUGUUUAAACAGGUGGUUGCGUAGACAUUUCAUGGCACUGUUCAUACCAAAUUGGCCGCGAUGUUGUAUCAAGCAGCCUUCAUGGAUUUGACCCAAUAACUUUGGAUGUCAAAGCUUCUCGAAUUUCAUCCUGAUAGGAACAGUGAUGUAAUGUAACUGCAGAGCCUUCAAUCGGUUGUCCCUGUUUUCCAGUUGCAAUAUUUUACUCUCCAAAAGUGAAAGAA